CAUUAACGGGUUUCUAGGUUCUA
rnacentral:siRNA from 1 species